UACGUAGGGUGCAAGCGUUGUCCGGAAUUAUUGGGCGUAAAGAGCUCGUAGGCGGUGUGUCGCGUCUGCUGUGAAAACUCAGGGCUCAACUCUGAGCUUGCAGUGGGUACGGGCACACUAGAGUGCUGUAGGGGAGACUGGAAUUCCUGGUGUAGCGGUGAAAUGCGCAGAUAUCAGGAGGAACACCGGUGGCGAAGGCGGGUCUCUGGGCAGUUACUGACGCUGAGGAGCGAAAGCAUGGGGAG
rnacentral:rRNA from 1 species